rnacentral:rRNA from 1 species
AGAGUUUGAUCAUGGCUCAGAUUGAACGCUGGCGGCAGGCCUAACACAUGCAAGUCGAACGGAAACAUGUCUAGCUUGCUAGAUGAUGUCGAGUGGCGGACGGGUGAGUAAUGCUUGGGAACUUGCCUUUGCGAGGGGGAUAACAGUUGGAAACGACUGCUAAUACCGCAUAAUGUCUUCGGACCAAACGGGGCUUAGGCUCCGGCGCAAAGAGAGGCCCAAGUGAGAUUAGCUAGUUGGUGAGGUAAAGGCUCACCAAGGCAACGAUCUCUAGCUGUUCUGAGAGGAAGAUCAGCCACACUGGGACUGAGACACGGCCCAGACUCCUACGGGAGGCAGCAGUGGGGAAUAUUGCACAAUGGGGGAAACCCUGAUGCAGCCAUGCCGCGUGUGUGAAGAAGGCCUUCGGGUUGUAAAGCACUUUCAGUUGUGAGGAAAAGUUAGUAGUUAAUACCUGCUAGCCGUGACGUUAACAACAGAAGAAGCACCGGCUAACUCCGUGCCAGCAGCCGCGGUAAUACGGAGGGUGCGAGCGUUAAUCGGAAUUACUGGGCGUAAAGCGCACGCAGGCGGUUUGUUAAGCUAGAUGUGAAAGCCCCGGGCUCAACCUGGGACGGUCAUUUAGAACUGGCAGACUAGAGUCUUGGAGAGGGGAGUGGAAUUCCAGGUGUAGCGGUGAAAUGCGUAGAUAUCUGGAGGAACAUCAGUGGCGAAGGCGACUCCCUGGCCAAAGACUGACGCUCAUGUGCGAAAGUGUGGGUAGCGAACAGGAUUAGAUACCCUGGUAGUCCACACCGUAAACGCUGUCUACUAGCUGUUUGUGGCUUUAAGCCGUGAGUAGCGAAGCUAACGCGAUAAGUAGACCGCCUGGGGAGUACGGCCGCAAGGUUAAAACUCAAAU